rnacentral:rRNA from 1 species
GUGAGGAAUAUUGGUCAAUGGGCGGAAGCCUGAACCAGCCAUCCCGCGUGGAGGAAGACGGCCCUAUGGGUUGUAAACUUCUUUUCAAGGGGAAGAAAGUUCGCGACGUGUCGCGAUUUGCCGGUACCUUUGGAAUAAGCAUCGGCUAACUCCGUGCCAGCAGCCGCGGUAAUACGGAGGAUGCGAGCGUUAUCCGGAUUUAUUGGGUUUAAAGGGUGCGUAGGCCGAUCGAUAAGUCAGCGGUGAAAUACCAUGGCCCAACCAUGGAACUGCCGUUGAUACUGUCGGUCUUGAAUAUGGUCAAGGUAGGCGGAAUGUGUAAUGUAGCGGUGAAAUGCUUAGAUAUUACACAGAACACCGAUUGCGAAGGCAGCUUACUGGUCCAUUAUUGACGCUGAGGCACGAAAGCGUGGGGAUCGAACAGGAUUAGAAACCCCUGUAGUCC